rnacentral:rRNA from 1 species
AUACGUAGGGAGCGAGCGUUGUCCGGAAUUACUGGGUGUAAAGGGAGCGUAGGCGGGAGUGCAAGUCAGAUGUGAAAUACAUGGGCUCAACCCAUGGGCUGCAUUUGAAACUGCAUUUCUUGAGUGAAGUAGAGGUAAGCGGAAUUCCUGGUGUAGCGGUGAAAUGCGUAGAUAUCAGGAGGAACACCGGUGGCGAAGGCGGCUUACUGGGCUUUUACUGACGCUGAGGCUCGAAAGCGUGGGGAGCAAACAGGAUUAGAUACCCUGGUAGUCCACGCUGUAAACGAUGAUGACUAGGUGUGGGGGGACUGAACCCUUCCGUGCCGCAGUUAACACAAUAAGUCAUCCACCUGGGGAGUACGGCCGCAAGGUUGAAACUCAAAUGAAUUGACGGGG